GUGCGAAUAACUAUUGACAACAAAUAUGGACAUCAUGGACAUUGAAAACAGUGGGAACUCGCCUAUUACGAGUGCCAAGUCGGGAAAGUUAAGACAAGGUGGUAAAGUCUGUUGCGUUUCCCAUUGUGGAAACAAAUCCGCUCUGAGAACAACAUCACUUCACCAGGUGCCUCUUGACGGCCGGCUGAGGAAGCUUUGGCUCGACGCAUGCAAAAUAGACGAUCCAAGAAGGAUAUUUUGCAAGUAUCUUUUUGUGUGUGGAGAGCACUUCUCUGCCACAGACUUCAGUGGGACUCCUACUAAAAGGAGAUUGAAGAAAGUCGCAGUACCCAGCAAGAAUUUGCAUAUCGAACCCGAACAGCGUGUUAAAGAUGUUUGCAGGAAAAACUGCAUUGUUUGUGGACGAUUCCUUUCGAGUCCCAGAGCUCCUCUCAAAACCACUAGCAACAUAUGUCACGAUCAUUGUGUCAAAAACUUGCGAAGUGUCAGGAAGAAAGGCAAUUUACAGCCCCCACAAGAAGCGGAGCCUGUUGAGAAUGUAGCCCCUGAAUGUGAGACUGUGCGUGAUAAUAAGGAACCUUCAGAAGCGGAGCCUGUUGAUAAUGUAGUCCUCGAUUGUGACACUGUGCGUGAUAAUAAGGAGCUUUCAGAAGCACAACCUGUUGAGAAUGUAGUCAUGCCUGAUAAUGAGAAGCUCUCAAAAGCCUUGGCCUUGUGGGACUCAGUCAAUAGAUAUGUGGUAAAUCGUCUGAAGGAGAAGCCUGAACUCUUCGCACCUGCUGUGUUGAAAUUUUGUAAAGGGUUUGAAAGUGCUAAAAAUAUUUCAGAAAGUUUGCUGCUUUCAUCUUUGAGCAACUUCAACAAGACUUACAGUUAUAAAAAUAAGAGAUACAUCAUUGUGAAAAAAGACGAACUGCCCAAAUUGAAGGUGGCUUUUGGAGGCAAAAAGCGCGUGCCUCGCUUUCUCAACCGUCCAAGAGCGACUUUACAGCAGAGCAUGGAUGUUUGCAAAAGGCCCCAGGCCGAUUAGGUACCUGACUCUGCCCUGCAACUCUGUUCUAUAGUCAAAGUAUAUAGUUAUCUCAGUUAAAUUGUGAUUGGUUGUUGUAAUAUUUUUCUAUAAUCUUCUCAUCUACUCACAUCAGAAGAUAAUAGAAAAAUACUAGAACAUUGGUUGAGCAGUGACCAUUAAGAGAUAGUUUUGUGAUUUUAGACUGCAUUAAUUCCACGACAUAGUAAGAUUUACAUCUGUAGUGCGAAAGAAAUUGUGAUCAGAAAAUCAUUUAUUGAGAAGUUUUGUACUUAUCUUAAAGUAUAAUUUACCAAAAAUGUGAGCCUUUUCACAAAAAUUCCUUGUGUUAUACUUGAAUAAAGUUGCAUUUAUUCUUUCACACAA
rnacentral:misc_RNA from 1 species